rnacentral:lncRNA from 1 species
CCGCAUGAUUUAGGAUGCCUCUUUAGAUUGAAAAAAGAACGAAAAAGUACAAUAUUGGGAUCAAUCCCAGCCAAUACGUACACUACGGUAAAAAUGCAGAUAUACCACCAUGAGUUUGGAAUUACCGAGCAUGAUGACAUUUUAAGAAAUUGAAAAAAAAGUUAUAAAAAAGAGAUGGAGUGGAAGCCUUAGCCCAGCCUGGAAGCACUCUUCAUAGAGGCUUAUCCGACCUGGAGGGAUGGCAAACUCGAUCGUUCGGCCUCG